GGAGAGAGAACAGGGUCAGGGGUUAAUGCUACAGGGAGGAGAGAGAACAGGGUCAGGGGUCAGGUAGUAAUGCUAGAGGGAGGAGAGAGAACAGGGUCAGGGGUCAGGUAGUAAUGUUAGAGGGAGGAGAGAGAACAGGGUCAGGGGGUAAUGCUACAGGGAGGAGAGAGAACAGGGUCAGGGGUCAGGUAGUAAUGCUAGAGGGAGGAGAGAGAACAGGGUCAGGGGUCAGCUAGUAAUGCUAGAGGGAGGAGAGAGAACAGGGUCAGGGGUCAGGUGGUAAUGCUACAGGGAGGAGAGAGAACAGGGUCAGGGGGUAAUGCUACAGGGAGGAGAGAGAACAGGGUCAGGGGUCAGGUAGUAAUGCUAGAGGGAGGAGAGAGAACAGGGUCAGGGGUCAGGUAGUAAUGCUAGAGGGAGGAGAGAGAACAGGGUCAGGGGUCAGGUAGUAAUGUUAGAGGGAGGAGAGAGAACAGGGUCAGGGGGUAAUGCUACAGGGAGGAGAGAGAACAGGGUCAGGGGUCAGGUAGUAAUGCUAGAGGGAGGAGAGAGAACAG